rnacentral:rRNA from 1 species
GACGAACGCUGGCGGCGUGCCUAACACAUGCAAGUCGAGCGAGUGAAUCUCCUUCGGGAGUGAAGCUAGCGGCGGACGGGUGAGUAACACGUGGGCAACCUGCCUCAUAGAGGGGAAUAGCCUUCCGAAAGGGAGAUUAAUACCGCAUAAGAUUGUAGUACCGCAUGGUACAGUAAUUAAAGGAGCAAUCCGCUAUGAGAUGGGCCCGCGGCGCAUUAGCUAGUUGGUGAGGUAACGGCUCACCAAGGCGACGAUGCGUAGCCGACCUGAGAGGGUGAUCGGCCACAUUGGGACUGAGACACGGCCCAGACUCCUACGGGAGGCAGCAGUGGGGAAUAUUGCACAAUGGGGGAAACCCUGAUGCAGCAACGCCGCGUGAGUGAUGACGGCCUUCGGGUUGUAAAGCUCUGUCUUCAGGGACGAUAAUGACGGUACCUGAGGAGGAAGCCACGGCUAACUACGUGCCAGCCGCCGCCGUAA